GGGGCGAGUUGCCAGAUGGGCGCUGGGCCGGACUGUAAAUCCGGCGUCUGAGACUCGCGUGGUUCGACUCCACGUCGCCCCACCA
rnacentral:tRNA from 2 species